GUAAGAGAUUAUUUCUCCUUACUUUGACGUGAGCAACGAUCCCAAGGAGAAGCACUCAGGUUUUUUUUUAUUUUUUCAAUUUUGAAGGAACUUCGGACAUAAACCAGGUAUUUGUGCCCUGCUACAACGCCUCAAUUUGACGAGACUGCAUGAAUGUUUGGUCGAACUGGACACAAGAAAUGAGAUCUCGUUUUGGCGGGAGGGAGUCGCACUACACCCCUGAAGAGGAGCCCAAGUCAUGUUGCGGUGUUUCUCUGUCGCAAACGCUCGCCAUCCGGUGGUUUAUUCUGGUCGUGUUUUUCCUAGGAUUAUGCUGUGCCGUAGUUGGCUCAGUUUUGGGCGUUAUGAGGAUAUCCGGCAGGGAGCAUCUCACAGUCUCAAUCUUAAUGAUAGGAGUAGGGAUAGUGCUGGUGGCGGUGAGUGGUGUUGCAUGGCGGAUGACGUCACGAGAUGCCCCGUCGUGCCGGGUCAUGCUGGGUCUGGGCGCUGGCGAGGAGGGCAUCGGCGAACCCAACAGGAGGUUCGUCCCGCGGCUCCCCCAACCUACGGUAGACCCCACCACCCUUAUGCUGCCAUGAUGUACCCUGAGUUCCAGUAUAGAGCACCGCCACCUUCUUACCAAGCUUCUAUGCAAGAGUACAGGCUUAGACUUCUAUUACUAGAUCGAAAUAAUGGACCUCUAAAUACUGUCUCUCCUCCGCCGACGUACCGGUCCCAUCCAGGCACCAUUUUAAGGCCACCAAUCAAUUGUAGAAGAGAUCCCAUCUGCCAUCCUCCCAACCUAGACUACAGCCGGCCUCCGAGUUAUCGAUCGAGGACCAGUUCAACACGGCCAUCAUGCAACCUGGAUCCAACCGGUGAUAUUGGAGGUUCCAUCAGCACCACGCAUAGUCGCAAUCCCUCACAAUUGAGUAUAUCGGAUGCCGGUGGCAACACAGUUAAUGUUAUAACUGUGAUUGGAACGCGAAGUGCAAGUGAUACAGAUAGUGAAAAUAUUAUCAAAAUGGUGCCAGACGAAUCUGCUUUGUCUGGACCGCUUAGUAUAGUUUCUAGUAAAAAAGAAUCCGAUGCGGACAUAGUCAAAGACGCACCUUCAAAUAUUGUCACAAUUGUUCAGAGUGCACCGGAAACUAACGGCUCUGUCAUUGUGACGGUAACUGGCACAACAACCGAUACUACCACUUCAAGCCAUACUUGUGAUACUGAAAUGCAGAUUUUAGCUCAUUUAUGA
rnacentral:lncRNA from 1 species